rnacentral:lncRNA from 1 species
GGUGUUAAAAAAACUAUUUUCUGGAGAAAUUUUCUUUCCUUUGAUUUCUUGUUUUCUCCUGUUUAAUUCUUUUUUAUACAAGUUUAAAUCCAUCACAUACAUACAUAAAUAUGUCCUCUAUAUAUAACUUCAUAAAACUUACAUCUAACCAUAAAAAUCAAAGGAUUGGAGAAAUAUUUAGUAUUUUUCCUUUCUCGGUUUCAUUUCUUCUUCUUCAUCCUCUUCUCUUUCUCCUCUCCUUUGUUUUCUGAUUUUGCUGAGAGUGAAUGGGGUGGGUGGAAACAUAAAUGUUUCUUUUCUCUUUCUGUUUCCUUUCUUUCUUUUUUCUUUCUUUAUUUUUUCCUCAUUCUUUUUUCUUUCUUUGUCCCCUUAUCCCCA